GAGCGUGUAGCUUAAUGGAUAGAGCAUCAGAUUCCGAUUCUGAAAGUUAAGGGUUCAAGUCCCUUCAUGCUCA
rnacentral:tRNA from 1 species